GGGCCCGUAGCUCAGGAGGUCAGAGCGGCGGGCUUUUAACCCGCUUCCGCAGAAGUCCCGGGUUCGAAUCCCGGCGGGCCCGCCA
rnacentral:tRNA from 1 species